AUACGGAAGGUCCGGGCGUUAUCCGGAUUUAUUGGGUUUAAAGGGAGCGCAGGCGGAGAUGCAAGCGUGACGUCAAAUUUCGGGGCUCAACCCCGUCUCGCGUCGCGAACUGCGUCCCUUGGUUGCGGGGAGGGGAGGCGGAACUCGUGGUGUAGCGGUGAAAUGCAUAGAUAUCACGAAGAACUCCGAUCGCGAAGGCAGCCUCCCGGCCCGUCAACGACUCUCAUGCUCGAAGGUGCGGGUAUCAAACAGGAUUAGAUGCCCUGGUAGUCCUCACAGUAAACGAUGGACACCCGCGGUUUGGCCUGUAUGGCUGAGCCGCUAAGCGAAAGCGUUAAGUGUCCCACCUGGGGAGUACGCCGGCAACGGUGAAACUCAAAGGAAUUGACGGGG
rnacentral:rRNA from 1 species